UGGAGAGUGAGGCAAGUUUUGAAUGAAGCAAACUUCCAUGCUCAAGGGGUAAAGAGGGCAUAGCUAUGGAGAGCUCUAGGUGUAUAACUCUGUUUAGUGACCUCAGACAUUGCAUUGAAAGUCUAUAUAUAAAAUCUCAGCUUUUGCUAUCUGUCUAUCCCUGGGCCAGACCAUGUAGUCACGAUCACAUGAAGUAGGGGAGGCAGGCACCAUUCCCAGAGAAAAGGAUGUUUUCACCUGAAGAGAUGGGAACUGAAUACUAGGAAGAAGUUGCCAACUCUCUCCUACAACCUCACUGCUUUGCAGGGCCUAUGGGACAAGAUCGUCUUUGCUGCAAGUGGAUGGAGGCACUUUGGUCCUUUUUCAUCUUGGUGCUCUUCAAAAUACAAUCCCAUCAGGAUGCAUCCCCACCGUACCCUCAGUGCCUGGAACACCGCAUCGCACUGGAUGCUGAAUGAAGCUAUGAUACCUAUAGCAGUUACUGCCAUUUUGGACCCAUAAACUGACAAUCCUUAACCAUUACCAGGAGGGCAGAGCAGAAAGAACCUUGAUGUCAUCACUAAGCUGCUGGAUUACCUCACUCUAGAAAUACCCAACUCUGCAUGUUUGGUUAUUUUUUUAAAAAAGGUCUUCUUUAUUAUUUUCAUCAUUUUGAAUGGGCUCUAACUCUAGCUCUUAUAGUAAAAAGCAUUUGAACUGAUACAAAUAAUUAUCUCCAUAUGGUUAUUUUGAGAAUUAAAUGAGAUAACACAUAAAAUGUAUGCUUGGGACAAUGUCAUACACAACAUUCAAGAGUACAUAUUGUUAGUAUUAUUGAUGUUGUUGAUGUUAAAGCCGUUACUUCCUGUGAUGAUCUUGCAGUGCAACAGAUUUUCACUUUAGUUUGGGGCAAGAUUAUGAGGCUUGAAUAGGAAAACAUGAUGAAAGUUUUAUUUCCUACAGCCCAUUUUCUUCUUUCAGCAUGUCUUUUACUUGCUUUCAUGCCCCUUUGAGUCUCCCCAAUCAUCUAGAAAGGGGAUCUACUAGUCAUUGCAACAAAGGAGCAUAGAAUAUUUAAUAAGGCAAUUUUUAACCCAAAAGAAUAAUAUCCCAGCAUUAGAAUUCCAAAUGCAAUAUCAAGUUGUAGGUAAGAAUUUGGAGUAAGCAGGACUUCUCUAUAUCUCCAAAAUGUUAUCACACAAGCCUCUACCUGUACGUAAAGCCAAGCUUUCCAGUAUACAAUUGGGCACUAAAUUCCAGAUAGUUUUUUUUUAUCCAGCCAUGGCCUUGUAAGAAAAUAAUUCUCCUUUACUGUGUAAUUGUUAACACUGAAUAAUUAUCAAGUGGUGACCUGGACACUGCAGAUCAUUAUCUGUUGUCGGUGACAGUGCUGUUCGUUUUCAAACCAGUAAAAGAAGCUCUUUUUUCCUUUUUGUAUCCAUAAAAUUUGCGAGGGAUUUAAAACUUGGAAAAUGUGGGGUUUUCUUGCAUUUCCAAUGGACUAGAUCUUUACAAUCAUUAACUGUUCUAAAGUUGAGAAGAGCUGCUAAGUUCUUUGGAGCAUGAAAAAAGAUGGGCAUAUGCUGUAAAUUGACAUAAAAAAAGUGGCAGCUUUGAGAGUUUGCAAGAUCAUUUUUACCAGAGCUUAUAUUUGGUAUGAGAUAUCAGUAAGGCAGUUUUGUUUUGUUUUUGUUUGUUUGUUUUGUUUU
ensembl:lncRNA